GCCCGAAUCCUGACACAGGGAGGUAGUGACAAGAAAUAACAAUACAGGGCUACUUCUAGUCUUGUAAUUGGAAUGAGUACAACUUACAUCUCUUCACGAGGAUCAACUGGAGGGCAAGUCUGGUGCCAGCAGCCGCGGUAAUUCCAGCUCCAGAAGCGUAUAUUAAAGUUGUUGCAGUUAAAACGCUCGUAGUCGGGUUUCGGGUCGGGCCGAGCGGUCUGCCGAUGGGUAUGCACUGUUUGGCGCGGCCUUCUUUCCGGAGACCGCGGCUACUCUUAACUGAGCGGGCGUGGGAGACGGAUCGUUUACUUUGAAAAAAUCAGAGUGUUUCAAGCAGGCAGCUCGCUCUUGCAUGGUACAGCAUGGGAUGAUUGAAUAGGACUCCGGUGCUAUUUUGUUGGUUUCGAACACCAGGAGUAAUGAUUAACAGGGACAGUCAGGGGCACUCGUAUUCCGUCGAGAGAGGUGAAAUUCUCAGACCAAUGGAAGACGAACCACUGCGAAAGCAUUUGCCAGGGAUGUUUUCACUGAUCAAGAACGAAAGUUAGGGGAUCGAAGACGAUCAGAUACCGUCGUAGUCUUAACCAUAAACCAUGCCGACUAGGGAUUGGAGGGUGUUCGUUUCGACCUCUUCAGCACCUUACGGGAAACUAAAGUCUUUGGGUUCCGGGGGGAGUAUGGUCGCAAGGCUGAAACUUAAAGGAAUUGACGGAAGGGCACCACCAGGAGUGGAGCCUGCGGCUUAAUUUGACUCAACACGGGGAAACUUA
rnacentral:rRNA from 1 species